UUAUUAAAACAGAAUAAAAUAUAAAUUUGGAAAGAUUUAACCGAGAGAGGAGAGUGCUUCAGUGCUCUGUCUGUCCGUGCCUUUGAACCCCUGCCGAGGCUCACGCUGCAAGGCAGCCUUGCUGCUUUCCGUCAGUCUCUCUGCAUCCUGCCUCCCGCCAGUCUCGUCAGUCUCUGCUUCUCCAACUAGCUGCCAGGCAGCUGUUCUUUUCCGCGCCUAUCAUCUCCCCCAGCUGCCAAGCAGCUUGUUUUCCUCCUCUGCCGAGCUGCCAAGCAGCUCCUUUGCUUCUUGGUUUUCUUUCUUCUCGCCCCAGCUGCCAAAUGGCAGCUCUGAUCUUUCCCCCCUCGAGCCUCAGCUGCAAAGGCAGCUUAUAUUUCUCCACGUGCUGCUUCUUCAAAUGCUGCCAAGUUCUUCUUAUUUUCUGUGCUCACCAACCACACUGCACUCAAGAGUUUUGUUUAAUCCUCUUUUCUUACACUAGCUGCAAGUGCAGCUUUCAUUUCUUUUGUUUAUUAGCUGCACACACACCUACCGCACUUCACAAAUGCCAUUCACCAACUCCCUCUAUAUAUAGAUAUAUAUGUGAUAUAUAUAUAUAUUAUUUAUAUAUCUAUAUCUAUUUAUAUGUAUAAAUAUUAUAUAUAUAUAUAUAUAUAUUAUGCUCUCCAUUAUUUUUCUAGUGGUCCACCCGUGUUCCACUAUUUUCUGUUUAUUAUUUAAAACUCAUUUGUGCUAUUUUUAUUUUCUUUGCAUAACAAAUCCUAUAAACACAAAAAUAACGUAAAUAGCUCAAAAAUAUAAGGAACUAACUAAGAAAAGACGAGUGAAUUUGAAGUAAAAAUAUAUAUAAAUAUGAUCCGAUCAAAUAGCCCCAUACUUAGCUUUUGCUAGUCCUCGAGCAAAACAAAGAAACCAUGAAAAAGUACUAACAUGAAAAACAUUAGUUUCCCCAUAUGUGACCCUCAUAGAAUUUCAUUUGAGAACACAAAUCAUCAAGAACCAUAGCUAGCACCAAACAAGUUAAUCCAAGUUCAUCUUCCUUAUUCAAAUAUUAGCAGUAAUCUUUGAAUCAUCCUUGAAGUGUAGUGUGUGAGAUAGCCAUGCUAAUGCAAUUUCAAGUUUUUAUUUUUAAAAUCAUCAUAUGCAAACUAACGACCUUCUCACUGGAUAUGCACUCAAUCACACAUGUGUUUAGUUUUAAUGUGUUUCGCUCAAAGAAUCAAAUGUGAAAGUUCUACCAUAAGCUUGCAUAAAGAUCACUUCUCCACAGUCAUAAUUGCAAAACUUAAAUCAAGAGGACUUUUAUUGGAUGUAAUGAGGUUUAGGGAUAGGGUUAUUGAAACGAAAGAAUAGGAAAACACAAGUUCCAAGCUACAUUGCAAGCAAUUCUUUUCUUUAGAUUUACAAGAACUCAAGCUCUCCAACGAUUCUUCUGACAUCUCCAACCACACCCUUAAACUUGAAACUUUAAAAACUUUAUUUAUUUUCUUUGUAUACAAUCUUUCUUUUUCUUUUUUCUUUUCUUCUCUUUUUUUUUUUUUUUUUUUUUUUAAUUACAAACAUGAAAUACUCCCACACUUAUUCUUUUGCCAAACACUUUCAAAGUACUUCACAAACAUUUCUCAUAAGACAAUCUCACAUUGCUCACUAGCUUGCUUGGAAAGGGUAAGGAAGAAUGUUUCAGGUAUAAGGGUAGACAUAUCUGGUGGUAAGAAAUAAAAGGCUCAACAUACACGGCUCAAAUUGGCAAUCUAAUGAUAUCAUUUUUAUUUGGGAAACAUGGUUAUUUGGGCCAUAGUGGUAAACCUAAUGCCUCUAUCAUUUCCAAGUUCAUGCAAUCAAUGACAAACAUUUCGAAAGAUCGUUACGCAAGUUCUAGAGAUGUAUCUCACAUAAGUUCAUCACACAUGAAAGAAUAGAAGUGUAUGAAAAAUGCACACACUUUCAAUAGCCUCAAAAACUCACAUAGGAUGUAUAUGGUCACUAAAUUCACAUAUGAAGCUUUAAGUCAUACUUUAGUUUCACAUUAACAAGGCUAUGUGCAUUUGGUUUUUCAAAGAUGGUCAAACAUGUACAAAACUAACAAGAGAAUUAGGAAUUUCACCAAACACAUGUUAACUAAGUUCUUGAUGAUCAUGGUUCAAAUUUUUGAUCCAAUUAUAUCAUUGGGUCGGGAAACUAACAAAAAUCUAAUUCAAAACAAUAAGGGAAACAAGAAAAUAUUUUUGGAUUUUUAAAUUUUCCGAAUAUUUUUUUUUUUUUUUUAAAAGAAAACAAAAAACAACACACAUAAACAAAUGAAAUUCUAGAGAUUUCUACCCCCACACUUAAACUUGACAUUGUCCCCAAUGUCAGAAAAAACUAUAAUGCAAAUAAAAAUAAAAUAAAAUAAAUAAAAUAAUAAGAAACAAAAUAAAGCAAUUAGACUGAAAACUUCCCUAAUUUGCAGUAAAAUCGAGCGAUGACCCCCAAGCUAAAAUUCUGCAAUCAACUUCAAGGGUGGAAAUAACCAAAAGUUCCUGCAAAGAAAAGAAAUAAUUCAGUUAAGUACGCAAGAAAAUUAAUUAAAAAAAAAAUUGCAAACGAAAAAUUGAAAAUUACGAUAAAAGAUAAUGAAUAAAACUAAUAAGUAAUCAUUGGUCGUGCUUGUUGACUUUCCACAGCUUUCCUCUUGAACUGGGUGACACUUAGCUUUUACUUGCAAGUGAUGAUUUGAUGAUAUUGUACGGCGAAGCUUUGCUCUUUGGUGAUGUUGCAGUUCCUUAUUUGUUCUCCAAGCAGAUGUGGCAGCUUCUUUAGUUCUUCAGCUCGGACUCCUUGUGCUGGGUUGAUUGUACGAGCUGCAUUCUUCUCUGCUUGUUUCUUCUGCACAACGGGCAGGCACGAGGGAGAGGUGUUGGUCUGUUUCUUUCUUCAAUCUUUCCAAGUGCCCACCUCUUGCUUUCUUUCUCCUUGUCCCUAGCUGAAUUGUCUCCACAUGAUUCGAGGUAUCAUUUUCACUUCCCUUACUGUCCCCCAGGCAGAUGUGGUAGACGAAGAGAAAGCAUAAAAUGAUGAAGAUGAGUACUCGAGAGCAAGGCUAGGUAAGCAAUCAGGAAGGGGUUCCAGGCAGUUGGCUCCAGAUCGGAAGAUUGAUACCAAAUGCUGGCUGAUUGCUCUCUUUCUCCUUGUCGGAAAACAAAGACAAGGAGAAGGACAUGGAGAAAGCAUGAUAUGAGAUACUCUUGCUUUCAACCUUUAUGAUAUGAAAUACUUUUGCUUUGAAUGGGUUGUUCGCAGGAGUAUCCCAAGGAAUGAGGAACACAGAGUGACUCGAGAGGAUUCUUUGGGAAUGCAUUUUCGGAGAUGAAGAGGUGUUGAGAGGGUGUGCUGAGAGAAUGUGCUUUUGCUGUGGAAGGCGAAGGUAGAAACUUAUAGGACUUGUCUUCACAACCGGAACUGUUCUCUCACUCAUUGUCGGCAGCCGGUGGAUGGAUGAAUAGUACAAAUUACGCGCUUUCUGACAAAGCUGCCCGUAAUUUCCGCAAAGCUGCCAGUUGCAUGUGACAAAUGCUGACUAGGCUGAGAGAGACAGAUGGUUGGAAUCGGCACUUCGACAGACUGCCCGUGAUUUUCGCAGAGCUGAGUUUGCGUGUGACGGGUGACAACAAGUCUGGACGAAUUGAUCUUGCGAAAUCCGGGGUUCGACUCGUGGUUUCUGAGCAAGCCCAACUUUUAAGAAAUUAAAUGCCUCUUUUGAGAAAAGAAUCCGGCUUUUGAGAACGGAGCCCCGACUCUUCGAUUUGCGAGAUGACGCUUCUUCGAUUUCUUCCUUUUUAUAGAGGCGUUAAUCUUGUUCCACAACACACUUAUCCCUCCAGUAAACACUCCCUUCUUGCACUUGUUUAAUCUUGAUCAGUCCGACUCUCUUCUUUCUUCACCACCUCUGAAAAAUGUCUGGCCCUUCCGAUCGUCGUUUUGACUUGAACCGUGGUGAAGAGGCAGCUCCGCCUUCACCAGACAACAUAUGGCGCCCAUCUUUCAUAUCCCCUACCGGUCCUCUUACCGUUGGGGAUUCAGUGAUGAAAAAUGACAUGACUGCAGCGGUGGUGGCCCGGAACUUUGUCACCCCCAGAGAUAACAGACUGCUCGCUAGACGGUCUGAUGAAUUGGCGGUUAAGGAGUCUCUGGCUCUUAGCGUGCAGUGUGCCGGUUCCGUGUCCAACAUGGCCCAACGCCUAUUUGCCAGAACCCGUCACGUUGAAUCGUUGGUGGCUGAAAUACAGAGUCUCAAAGAGGAGAUUAAAGGACUCAAGCAUGAAAAUAAACAAUUGCACAAGCUCGCACACAGCUAUGCCACCAGCAUGAAGAGGAAGAUUGACCAGAUGCAGGACACCGAUGGUCAAAUUUUACUUGAUCAUCGGAGGUUUGUGGGUUUGUUCCAACAACAUCUGCCUUCGUCUUCUGGAGCGGCACCGCGUAGUGAAGCUCCAACUGAUCAACCUCUGCCGCCUCCUCCUUCUGUGGCCCCGCCGACUGCUGAAGCACCAUCCGACCAAUGAAUACUAUUAGUUUACAUCAUUGUAAAAUAUUUGUACUCUUUUUUUUUUUUUUUUUUUAAAUGUAUUUUUUUUUUAAUUGUUUUUUUUAUUUUUUAUAUAUAUAUAUUUUUUUUAUAUGUAAAUUAAAGUAGAAAGACUUUGGUUAACUUUCCCCCACACUUAAACUAAAUAACACAAACUCACAGAAAUCAAACAAAUAACACAACUAACUAAACAAAACAAAAUGAAAGCAUUAAAGAUAAGGGUGUAAAAAUGCAAAUCUGAUUGGGUUAGCGAUUCCAAAGUCUCUCUUCGUUGAAUGCUUGGGUUGCCUCCCAAGAAGCGCUUGAUUUAACGUCUUUAGCCGGACGCAUCUUUCCUUUAAAUUUCCCUCAGCUCCAUUUGAACCUAAAAUCAAAGAAAGAAAAAUAAAUCAAAUAUCAAAAGUAAAAUACACAAACACCAAUAUAAACAUAAACAAAAACAAAAAUAAAAGGAUUAGCAAAGUUACUAAUCUCCGGCAACGGCGCCAAAAUUUGAUGUGAGAAAUUACUUGACACACAAAUUAAACCCUCUUUUUGACAAUUGUAGUAUAGAUGUAAGUAGGGUAUCGUUCUAAGUCGGGGAUUAGGAGGGAUUGCUAAUCUAUUCUAAAUUAAUUUAAAAAUAUUAAACAAGACUCAAGGACACAAAACUAGGCUAAAAACUCUAAUAACUCGAAACACACUUAGAAUGACUCAAAAUAAUGAAAACAAUCAAAUUAGACACUAGGAAUUAAAAUGGACGGAAAUUGAAUUAAAAAACUAAAAACAAUGAAAACUAACUAAAUAAUAUAAUUUAAUAAUGAGGGGGGUUUGGUUUUGACGAGACGUAAAUUAAACUUAAAUAAAUUACAGAAUUGACAAAAGCAUGAAAUUAAGGUGAAAUGAUAAGUGACGGAUUAGCUAGAGGGUUCUUCUCCACACAUGACACAUAUGCAACCUAAAUUGAUUUUCAGUUGUUCUUUCAAUAAAUUGUAAAUCUCAACGCCCCAAAUUAACCGUGAAUUGCACUAAUUAACCCUCAGUUUUUCCACAAUGUUAUUGGGUUGGAUGAUUGCAUACGACAACCCAAAACAUUCCCUACGAGUUCCCUACAUGAAUUGCAUAAUAGAGAUACAAGCAAGAAUCAUUAAGUUCUAUGAAAAACAUAAGCAUUGACGAGGCACUCGUUACUAUGAUUUGCAUGAAACUUAUGCCAAGAAUUUACUUAACGUGAUUGUGACUAGCAACCUUCACUACUUGUGAAUAUAAGUUCAUAACGAUUAGGUGAAAUUCACUUAUAUUCUAGCAUCAAAUUCAUGCAUGUAAAUUAAGUAUGCAUCCUUAAUCGACAUACAAAAAUAAGUUAUAAAUCAAGCAGUUAAGCAAAUUAAAUCACAACUCAGAAAUCACAACUGAAGGUAAUCAAUUCAUAUUACAAAUAUAUUCAUGGCUUUGAAUUAACCUCUAGCCAAAAUAAAUUUAGUUACACAUUAUUAAAACAGAAAUAAAAUAUAAGUUUGGAAAGAUUUAACCGAGAGAGGAGAGUGCUUCAGUGCUCUGUCUGUCCGUGCCUUUGAACCCCUGCCGAGGCUCACGCUGCAAGGCAGCCUUGCUGCUUUCCGUCAGUCUCUCUGCAUCCUGCCUCCUGCCAGUCUCGUCAGUCUCUGCUUCUCCAACUAGCUGCCAGGCAGCUGUUCUUUUCCGCGCUUAUCAUCUCCCCCAGCUGCCAAGCAGCUUGUUUUCCUCCUCUGCCGAGCUGCCAAGCAGCUCCUUUGCUUCUUGGUUUUCUUUCUUCUCACCCCAGCUGCCAAAUGGCAGCUCUGAUCUUUCCCCCCUCGAGCCUCAGCUGCAAAGGCAGCUUAUAUUUCUCCACGUGCUGCUUCUUCAAAUGCUGCCAAGUUCUUCUUAUUUUCUGUGCUCACCAACCACACUGCACUCAAGAGUUUUGUUUAAUCCUCUUUUCUUACACUAGCUGCAAGUGCAGCUUUCAUUUCUUUUGUUUAUUAGCUGCACACACACCUACCGCACUUCACAAAUGCCAUUCACCAACUCCCUCUAUAUAUAGAUAUAUAUGUGAUAUAUAUAUAUAUUAUUUAUAUAUCUAUAUCUAUUUAUAUGUAUAAAUAUUAUAUAUAUAUAUAUAUAUAUAUUUUAUGCUCUCAAUUAUUUUUCUAGUGGUCCACCCGUGUUCCACUAUUUUCUGUUUAUUAUUUAAAACUCAUUUGUGCUAUUUUUAUUUUCUUUGCAUAACAAAUCCUAUAAACACAAAAAUAACGUAAAUAGCUCAAAAAUAUAAGGAACUAACUAAGAAAAGACGAG
rnacentral:lncRNA from 1 species